rnacentral:tRNA from 1 species
UCUCCAGUGGUCCAGUGGCUAAGACUCCACACUCCCAAUGUAGGGGGCCCAGGUUCAAUCCCUGGUAAGGGAA